rnacentral:rRNA from 1 species
GAUGAACGCUGGCGGCGUGCCUAAUACAUGCAAGUCGAGCGAACGGACGAGAAGCUUGCUUCUCUGAUGUUAGCGGCGGACGGGUGAGUAACACGUGGAUAACCUACCUAUAAGACUGGGAUAACUUCGGGAAACCGGAGCUAAUACCGGAUAAUAUUUUGAACCGCAUGGUUCAAAAGUAAAAGACGGUCUUGCUGUCACUUAUAGAUGGAUCCGCGCUGCAUUAGCUAGUUGGUAAGGUAACGGCUUACCAAGGCAACGAUGCAUAGCCGACCUGAGGGGGUGAUCGGCCACACUGGAACUGAGACACGGUCCAGACUCCUACGGGAGGCAGCAGUAGGGAAUCUUCCGCAAUGGGCGAAAGCCUGACGGAGCAACGCCGCGUGAGUGAUGAAGGUCUUCGGAUCGUAAAACUCUGUUAUUAGGGAAGAACAUAUGUGUAAGUAACUGUGCACAUCUUGACGGUACCUAAUCAGAAAGCCACGGCUAACUACGUG